GCUCCAUUUGACUGGAUAGAAUUGUACAUCAGAGCUUCCUGUUCCUGUGUCCAGACUAAGAAGCUCCAGUUUACUGGAUAGAUUGAAGCAGAGUUCAAUCUUCACCCUAACUUCAAAG